rnacentral:lncRNA from 1 species
AUUUUUUGAGAUGGAGUUUCGCUCUUGUCACCCAGGCUGGAGUACAAUGGCGUGGUCUUGGCUCACUGCAACCUCUGCCUCCUGGGUUCAAGCUAUUCUCCUGCCUCAACCUCCUGAGGAGCUGGGAUUACAGGCACCUGCCACCAUGCCUGGAUAAUUUUUUAUUUUUAAUAGAGAUGGGGUUUCACCAUGUUGGCCAUGAAUAGGCUCUAUUCUAAAGAAACUCACAAUAUACUAGCUAUUUCCAAUAAUGAUUAAAAAAAAGUGAAAGAAGACACUACAAAAUGAAGAGAAAGGCAGAGAAGGGUAAAAAUAAAUGCAGAAACCAAAAAGAGUAUCCCAAAGAACAGAGCAAGUUACAUGUAAAGUUCAGCAUCAGCAGUCUGGAAAUACCCAAAAGCGCCUCAUUGUCUGCACAGCAUGAAGCCUUCCCCUGACCUAAAUGGAUCAAGAAAAAUCAAAACUGCAAAUAUUUUUUUCAGAGCCAACUAUCUACUGGAUUUUGCUAAGAAAUUUGGUAAUUAAAAAUAUUCUUUAAGCUAUAGCCUUUACUUUCAAAGAGCCUGCAAUCUAAAUAUGAUCAAAGUUUACUGAAGUAUACACUGACACAUAACACCACUUGUUUUUC